GUCACGGGCGCGCCCCUGAGCGCAGCGCUGAUUGGCUCGGCGGCGCGCUCUGAUGGACAGCGGGCGGACUGGGGGGAGGAGACCCCCCCUCCCGGCGCGGUGGUGGGCGCCGCCCCCUCCUCCGGCAACGCGCAGUGGUGCGGUCCGGCCGCGCUUCGCGGGGCGCGGGAUGAACCACCCCCUGCUCCGGCGGGGGUGUAGACCGAACCAUUCCCGCUCAACGGGGGUCGAGGUUUGACAUCGCCUGUCGCGACAUGGCGCCCUAUUGCGACGCCUCCCUGAGGCCUGCAGUCGCGGGCAGCCUAAUCCUUCCCGUGACAGGGCGGCUGGCGCUGAGGCGGGGCUGCUGCGCAGCAGGUCGUGUUUGCCAGUGAUGGAUCGGCGUUUCCAGGGAGGAGCUCGCUUUUGUUCCAGCACGGAGCCAGGCCCUGCCCGGUGCCCGGCGGGAGACGGGGCCACCAACCACGCCGGUCCCUGGGGACAUUGGCUUCGGCUCCCGUGACACAAAGAGGCGCUUACAAGGCUCAUGUUUAGGGUGGAACAAACCGGGUUUAAUCUCUGGAAGGUGAAGGAAGAAUCCCGAAGGACCCUGCCCCAGGCAGGACACCGGAGACAUGGGGCGGGGGGGGCUGGGGGGGGGGGUGGGGUCCGAAAUGUGCAAUACAAAUGGCAUUUUGAGUGAUCGCAGAGCAGAAAUGCAACUUUCUUCCCCAAAAAUGCGCCUUUCUGCCCCAAAACUGUGUGCGAGCCUCGAGGAGGCUUGUAGUAAAAAGUGAGCUACAAAAGGUUUUAAAAAGUGAACCUGUCCCCAAAUAAAUAAACCACUGAGUCGUG